UAUUUGACCAUGCUGGUCAUUUAUGAACAUUUGAACAUCUUGGCCAUGUUCUGUUAUAAUCUCCACCCGGCACAGCCAGAAGAGGACUGGCCACCCCACAUAGCCUGGUUCCUCUCUAGGGUUUUUCCUAGGUUUUGGCCUUUCUAGGGAGUUUUUCCUAGCCACCGUGCUUCUACACCUGCAUUUGCUUGCUGUUUGGGGUUUUAGGCUGGGUUUCUGUACAGCACUUUGAGAUAUCAGCUGAUGUACGAAGGGCUUUAUAAAUACAUUUGAUUUGAUUUGAAUGGUCAGGCAGGCGGGUACAGAGUCCAGAAAAAGGCAAGGGUCAAACCGGGAGGACUAGAAAAAGGAGAAUAGCAAAAAGCAGGACAAACUGGCACAGAGAGACAGGAAACACAGGGAUAAAUACACUGGGGAAAAUCAGCGACACCAAGAAGGGGUGGAGACAAUCACAAGGACAGGUGAAACAGAUCAGGGCGUGACAACAAACAUUAUUUUGAUGAAUGUAUUCAUACUGUUUCAUCCUUCCACAAGAUAUAGUCCUGGCACAAAUCUGACACAAAUCUAGGGAUGAUCUGGAGACACAACCAAGUCGUUCGUUAUUUUGUUCUGUACCUAUGGACUUGACCCAGUCAUUCGUUCUUUUUGUUCUGUAUCUAUAUCAAAUCAAAUGUAUUUAUAUAGCCCUUCUUACUGCCAAAGUGCUGUAGAGACAGAGCGGACGACACGACCCAGUCGUUUGAUCUAAAUGUUCCUUUGCCAUACUGACUGGUAGCUUGCUAGCUAGCUAGCCAACUAUGGCUAAUUAACAGUCACUUCAAAAGUGCUGCCAGAAUAAUAGCAAAAUAGCUGCAUUUGCAUCUGUUUUCCAGCUAAGAUUUAUUUGAAUACAUCCAUAACAAUGAGCUUAUGAUGUGUGACUUUGCCCUGCAGAAAAAAUUGCUCUCUUGUCAGGACACUGUUCAGACAAAAGAAAGACAAUCCAUGACAUUCAUUUGAGCUGAUUUAAAAAAAUGAAACCAUACGUUCCCUUUGUUAUCCACCACAGCUGACGUAGCUAUAGCUACUUACUGUACGUCACAUUUAUCUGUACAUUCCCCUGGAUUGUGCAUUGGUUGAAAUAUCUGUCAGAGUCUGUGCUACUACUUCUGCUGCCUUGCUUCAGCCUUUUGGGUGUUGAUGGUGCUGCAGUGUUCACUUCGGAACCUUCACACCGAUGCCCACUCACUGAUUUAAUCUCCCUCACUUCUAAACCAGCAUUAGACAGUUUCCGGACUGUCGUGGUCCUGAUGCUGUGAUUUGUGUAUGUAGAUGUUUCCGCUGCCCUUCAGAUCUUGGGUAGAAGUGCUGCCAGAUAGUUCACGCCCCAUUGGCUCUGAUGUGUACCAGAUCGAGUCCCCGAUACACUCUCUCGGGUGGAGAUCAAAUGCAAGGGCGUUCUCCGGGAAUUUCUUCAGUGAUGUCACCGGGCAUAGUGGGUUCCCCGGCUGCUCGAACACGAACAUGAAAAACUCUUCCUUAGUGACCGUUUUGAAGUCAACAACUUUUUUCUUCUUUUUUCUUCUGUUCUCUCAGCCCUGCAAUGCACAGCCCAGUUUGUACCCUUAACUGUGUUUUUUUCGUUGCGGCUUUUCUCUAGGUCAUUCAAUGCAGUAUCCUCCAAAUCUGCCUGCCCGGGUAUUAUUUCCAUCUAAUUUUCCCAUUCAUCCAUUGUCAUGCCGCCGAAAAGAUACAAAUAAUGUUCCAGUAAUUCAUUUUAGUUUUCACAACAAAGUAUCGCUUUAGUCAGUCAACUGAGAAAAGCUUUGUAUGUUGGAGAUCGCAAUUCAAUAUUUAAACAAUAUUGAAAAGUUUGGAGUGACAGACAGCAAGGUUUAUAGAAAUCUCUGCUGUUGAAAACCAAAUGUUAGUCUAAAAGAAAUGGGAGAUAAUGUCUAGAUGCUUUUUAUGGUGGAGAUCAAGUUUAUACAUUUCCUGUCAGAUGGAACAGAGUAAAUAGGCAUUUCAACUUCAUAGAUUUAGCCGGGGGUAACUUGUGAAAUAGACACCGGCUGGAAUGCGGUUUUAUCCAAUCAGCAUUCAGGAUUAGACCCACCCAUUGUAUAAAAGGCUAGUGUCUACAGUGUCUACGUUGUCUCCUCCCUUAUAUAUGACCAAUCAAUUUAGGUCAUUGACAAGUUCAGAAAAAAGCACUGUCGUUGCUCCAAUGUGUACCUAACCAUAAACAUCAAUGCCUUUCUUUAAAAUCAAUACACAAGUAUAUAUUUUUAAACCUGCCUAUUUAGUUAAUAUUGCCUGCUAACAUGACUUUCUUUUAACUAGGGAAAUGGUAUCACUUCUCUUGCGUUCCGUGCAAGCAGUCAGGGAAUAUGCAGCAGUUUGGGCUACCUGGCUCGUUGCGAACUGUGUGAAGACCAUUUAUUCCUAACAAAGACCGUAAUUAAGCGAAAGGCCAACUCUUUGUGAGGAAGACCAAGACGCUGUUUCAUCAGCACAAGAAUGAGUUGUUCAGAAGGAGUGAGAACUGAGCAUGAGGCAGCCCAUGCUAUGGAAAGGUCCCUCUGAGAAUGUGUGACUGUGAAGAAGGAGCUCUGCAGGGGAGUGGAGGAGAUAAGACUCUCCUAUAUCUCUCUGGUCACCCCCAAAACCAAUUCUUUCUUUGGCCGCCUCUCCUUCCAGUUCUCUGCUGCCAAUGACUGGAACGAACUACAAAAAUCUCUGAAACUGGAAACACUUAUCUCCCUCACUAGCUGUCAGAGCAGCUCACAGAUUACUGCACCUGUACAUAGCCCACCUAUAAUUUAGCCCAAACAACUACCUCUUUCCCUACUGUAUUUAUUUGAUUUAUUUUGCUCCUUUGCACCCCAUUAUUUUUUAUUUCUACUUUCCACAUUCUUCCACUGCAAAUCUACCAUUCCAGUGUUUUACUUACUAUAUUGUAUUUACUUUGCCACCAUGGCCUUUUUUUGCCUUUACCUCCCUUAUCUCACCUCAUUUGCUCACAUCGUAUAUAGACUUGUUUAUACUGUAUUAUUGACUGUAUGUUUGUUUUACUCCAUGUGUAACUCUGUGUCGUUGUAUGUGUCGAACUGCUUUGCUUUAUCUUGGCCAGGUCGCAAUUGUAAAUGAGAACUUGUUCUCAACUUGCCUACCUGGUUAAAUAAAGGUGAAAUAAAUAAAUAAAGACUAGUCAAACAUUCCACAAUAAAUCAACUUUACUGCUAAGUUUUAGAUGACACUAAAAGCCAUUGUUUAUAUAGGGUUUUGGUCUCAGGAGUAAAAAGGUAAUGACGUAGGUAGUGACAUCACCAGGAUAGACUGAGGGUGUAACAAAACAACUGGAGACUUUUUGUUUGAUGCAGAACUUACUCGGGAACCUGCGUGCUAUGUUCCUGAUUGUCAACUUCUGUCUGAAAUUGCAUUAAUAAAGGUUUUUGAAUGAUUUAAUUAAA